rnacentral:pre_miRNA from 1 species
CAUGUGCUCCCUCCGUUCCUAAAUAUUUGUCUUUCUAGACAUUUCAACAAGUGACUACAUACAGCGGAAAAUGAGUGAAUCUACACUCUAAAAUAUGUCUAUAUACAUCUGUAUGUAGUCAUUUGUUGAAAUCUCUAGAAAGACAAAUAUUUAGGAACGGAGGGAGUACCAU